rnacentral:lncRNA from 1 species
GGAGGAACUAAAAACAGACUCGGAAGCUUCUCGAUUGUUCUUCAACUAACUCUGCUUCGUUCUCCAACCCACAAUCUAGCUCAACACCUAUUCUGAUUUACUUCCCCAGACUGAUUAGCUUUUAGGUCAUCUUUCUUUUGGGUCGUGGAGCUCGCGUCCACAAUUGCUGCAACACUUCUUCUCUCUGCUGGAAGAACCUUA